rfam:Chlorocebus sabaeus isolate 1994-021 chromosome 23, whole genome shotgun sequence.
GGAUGGAGGGCGAUCUGGUGGUGACAUCUAUUACCCCACUGGAUUGCCAAAGUUGAUUCAGUUGAUCUGGCUGGCUAGGCGGGUGUCCGCUUCGUCCCUCACCCCUCCAUGUGUGUCCUUCCCAAAGCUGUACGCUCAGUCAAAGGGGGCGACCUUCCCUGGAGAGGAGGACCAUUCUUCCAUUAAGCAUGUGAGAGUAGCUGUGCUCCCCUGCUGGAACCUCCAAACCAGCUCUCGAGAGGCGCUGCGGUGAGCCCAGUGAGAGAGACAGGGUGGUGCCCACAG